AUAUCUGUAAUAGUUUACUAUAAUUCCAUUAGAGGGCAUUUUUGGUACAUCGAUAGGUCACUCUUCAAAAUAAGUGAACCUAGACCAUAAUUCUAUUUAAACUCUGUUGAAGGGACGCUGCUCCUUCAUUUUAGAUUUCGUCGAAAGUGGUAAGAGUUAAUUUAAAACGUUAAAAUUAGUCAGAAACGUGCUUUGGAUGUCCUCUUGCUGAUCAACUUUAGUUUCGGCUUGUUUGCAAGUUUUCUGGGGAAAAAAUGCAAGAAAUAGAGUUGCAAUACAUUGUAAUAAAUUCCAUUAAUAAUCUUGAUGCAAACAAUGAAAAUGGUUGAAUAUGUACCACACCUAUGAAAAUAUAAUAUGUAUAGUAUAUAAAUAACUAUGGGAUAAAGAAGAUAUAUAACAUGAAAUAGGAAAAAAAUUUAAACUUUGAAAGAGAAAAGAAAGAUAAUAGAAAGGAAAAAUGUAUUUAUGAAAAUAAUAAUUAAACCAUGGAACUUUUUUUUUAAAGAUAGGAAGGUAAAUAAUUUUUUUAUUAAUAAAUAUUUCCAAAUUACAAUAGUUUAUGAUGAUAUUUGACAAGCAUAUGUCUGAGUAUAUUUGAUGUUACUUUUUUUGCUGAUUACAAUUUAUUAUUGCAAUUAAGUUGUAAAAUAUAUUUUUUUAAUUUAAAAAGUAAUAACAUCUGUUUUUUACCAGAUUCUAUAAUUUACUUGAGCACGAUGUGUAUCAUUACUUUUUCAAACAGGUGUUUUGCACAUAUAUUAAUUACAAAGUUUAAUACCAGAAGACAAAUAAUAAAAAGACAAACUUGGAAGACAGGAAUUGAAUACCCAUACGAGUUUGUUCUUAAACUAAUUAAGUCACAUGUAUAUAUACCUUUUAUGAAUAUAUAUGAUUUUCUAACUAAA